CAUGCACAGCCGAGAAGAAAAUAGAAGACAGGUCGGCAUGCAAAAAGAAAACAAAGCAUGCACAUUGUAGGCCUAAGUACAUUUGGUCUUUGGAGGGUUGCGAGCAAAAGCAGUUACUAACGCACUACGGUGUGCAUCCAAAACAACUAUGAACACAAUGAGAAUAAACAAUACGCGUAUUAUGGACCCAAAAGCUGAAGCUAAUACAUUUAAACGCAUAUACCCAGUCACACGCCGGAGUACACGUUUCCAGAACGCAUCUGCAAGAACACGUCAUAGACAUGUGUAGGGUUUUGAUUAGUGUACCCACCUCGCCUGACCGCACAUUAGGAAAACGCUGAAACCCCACGAGAGAACAACAGAUAUGCCAUGGACAACGUUAGGCUUUGGUGCAUAUGAACUCGCUAAAAUGCCGUAUUAAUACGGAUCCGUUUAAAUAGAAACGAACGAGCAAAAUACAAUUAAGUGCCAGUGAAACUCGACAAGUAAUACGACAGGUAUGACUUAAAAACCUGCACCUAAGAAAAUGUGUGGAAAAUACGAACAGAUGCAUGCAUGCAGAUACGGAAAAGUACAGGUGGAACGUUAACAAUUAGACUAUUUUAGAGCCGUAUCUGCUUGCAAAAUUUGCGGUGGUCGCAAGGCGAUGUGUAAUAUAAAUGCCGUUGUAACAAAUUGUACUUGAUACCAAAGAAAACUUAAUAGACUCGAAACUCGCUGGGAAGACCCACUUAAAUUCGAUAGACAACAAAUCGAUACCUGAUUCCAAGCACAGCCGGUUGAGGAGGACGAUUAAUUCACAUCAUGCUCGACAUACCAUGACAAGUCAAAUUGUUUGGCGAGCGUUAUCGUUCUUCUGUGUAAGCAAGGCAUUUCGUUAAAUUCCCAAGGCCGGGCUCGGCUGCGACACGUGUGACUUGGAUGACCAAAAAUUUCAGCGCCGUCCUUCCUUUUCGGUGGCAAAUUCGCAAUGCUCAAAAAAUACCGAUUCCAUAGAUUAGGAAAUGAAUAGAUGGCUCACUCCUUUGAUGUUUUUGACGCUGCCGGCACCCACGCAUGUUCUUGCCAGAGUAAUGGCGGCCUAGUAAGUAACUUUAUCGCUUCCUUUUCUUAACACUAUGUCAGCAAGAUAUCCUGCAACGAUUAGCUCUGUUUUCUGU